AUUGAACGCUGGCGGCAGGCCUAACACAUGCAAGUCGAGCGGAUGAAGGGAGCUUGCUCCUGGAUUCAGCGGCGGACGGGUGAGUAAUGCCUAGGAAUCUGCCUGGUAGUGGGGGAUAACGUCCGGAAACGGGCGCUAAUACCGCAUACGUCCUGAGGGAGAAAGUGGGGGAUCUUCGGACCUCACGCUAUCAGAUGAGCCUAGGUCGGAUUAGCUAGUUGGUGGGGUAAAGGCCUACCAAGGCGACGAUCCGUAACUGGUCUGAGAGGAUGAUCAGUCACACGGGAACUGAGACACGGUCCAGACUCCUACGGGAGGCAGCAGUGGGGAAUAUUGGACAAUGGGCGAAAGCCUGAUCCAGCCAUGCCGCGUGUGUGAAGAAGGUCUUCGGAUUGUAAAGCACUUUAAGUUGGGAGGAAGGGCAGUAAGUUAAUACCUUGCUGUUUUGACGUUACCAACAGAGUAAGCACCGGCUAACUUCGUG
rnacentral:rRNA from 1 species